GUGUCCGAAGAACACUUUUUUUAAUUCCUUCGAUAGAUAUCUCAUUCAGUAUAUACCGUAUGUUACUGUAAAGGGAUCGAUCCGGAUUUUCGUCGCUCCGGUUGGAUCGAUUCCCCAUUUAUUAUUUUCUAGUUUCAACACCUUAAUGCGCAUCGACCACUUCGAUGACAGGAGGCCGUGGGUUGAUCCCCGGCCACAAAAGACGUGGAAAUGGUACCCGUAGUUCUCUUGCUUGGCGCUUAGCAUUAAAAGGGAAACUGGCCUCAUUCUCUCAUACCAUCUUGGCGGUGGAUUCAAUCAGGAAUGAGGUGUCGAGAGUGAUUAAUGUAAGUUGUAUGUUUUUAUCUUUUUUCACACUAAACUUGUGUGUUAGCUAAAAUAUUGCAUCUGAUGUCCACACAAUGAGAAAUAUUUAAGACAAAUAUUCCUUAUACCGUAUCAGUUAAUUAUUAGAUUAAUUAGAUAAGAGUCUCAAUGGACUUUAAAACCUUAUCUAUCAUAUGACGUAACAAUGUAAUAAAAAUGUCAUACACACUCUGUGGCUCAUCUAACACCAGUCCGAACUGCGCAGGUCAUAAAUGCCCCGCUGUCAUGACAUAGCCACUUUAAAUCGGAUUAGUGCGAGAGAACAUACAGACUCUGAUUAAGGACUUAAUGCAGGUAUGUCGGUUCAUAAAGACGCCUGAUGUCGGGACGGUGAAUGCACGUCUACAAGAUAAUGCGUAGUAAACAGAUGGUAAACGUAAUUUCCGGACACAGAUGCGACUUGCAAGAAUCAAAAUCUUUAAAUUAUGGUUAGUACUAUAAACAUAGAGUGAAUAAUAUGAAAUAA